GACGAACGCUGGCGGCGUGCUUAACACAUGCAAGUCGAACGGAAAGGCCCUGCUUUUGUGGGGUGCUCGAGUGGCGAACGGGUGAGUAACACGUGAGUAACCUGCCCUUGACUUUGGGAUAACUUCAGGAAACUGGGGCUAAUACCGGAUAGGAGCUCCUGCUGCAUGGUGGGGGUUGGAAAGUUUCGGCGGUUGGGGAUGGACUCGCGGCUUAUCAGCUUGUUGGUGGGGUAGUGGCUUACCAAGGCUUUGACGGGUAGCCGGCCUGAGAGGGUGACCGGCCACAUUGGGACUGAGAUACGGCCCAGACUCCUACGGGAGGCAGCAGUGGGGAAUAUUGCACAAUGGGCGGAAGCCUGAUGCAGCAACGCCGCGUGCGGGAUGACGGCCUUCGGAUUGUAAACCGCUUUCGCCUGUGACGAAGCGUGAGUGACGGUAAUGGGUAAAGAAGCACCGGCUAACUACGUGCCAGCAGCCGCGGUGAUACGUAGGGUGCGAGCGUUGUCCGGAUUUAUUGGGCGUAAAGGGCUCGUAGGUGGUUGAUCGCGUCGGAAGUGUAAUCUUGGGGCUUAACCCUGAGCGUGCUUUCGAUACGGGUUGACUUGAGGAAGGUAGGGGAGAAUGGAAUUCCUGGUGGAGCGGUGGAAUGCGCAGAUAUCAGGAGGAACACCAGUGGCGAAGGCGGUUCUCUGGGCCUUUCCUGACGCUGAGGAGCGAAAGCGUGGGGAGCGAACAGGCUUAGAUACCCUGGUAGUCCACGCUGUAAACGGUGGGUACUAGGUGUGGGGUCCAUUCCACGGGUUCCGUGCCGUAGCUAACGCUUUAAGUACCCCGCCUGGGGAGUACGGCCGCAAGGCUAAAACUCAAAGGAAUUGACGGGGCCCCGCACAAGCGGCGGAGCAUGCGGAUUAAUUCGAUGCAACGCGUAGAACCUUACCUGGGUUUGACAUGGAUCGGGAGUGCUCAGAGAUGGGUGUGCCUCUUUUGGGGUCGGUUCACAGGUGGUGCAUGGCUGUCGUCAGCUCGUGUCGUGAGAUGUUGGGUUAAGUCCCGCAACGAGCGCAACCCCUGUUCACUGUUGCCAGCACGUUAUGGUGGGGACUCAGUGGAGACCGCCGGGGUCAACUCGGAGGAAGGUGGGGAUGACGUCAAGUCAUCAUGCCCCUUAUGUCCAGGGCUUCACGCAUGCUACAAUGGCUGGUACAGAGAGUGGCGAGCCUGUGAGGGUGAGCGAAUCUCGGAAAGCCGGUCUCAGUUCGGAUUGGGGUCUGCAACUCGACCUCAUGAAGUCGGAGUCGCUAGUAAUCGCAGAUCAGCAACGCUGCGGUGAAUACGUUCCCGGGGCU
rnacentral:rRNA from 1 species